rnacentral:rRNA from 2 species
CGGCGGACGGGUGAGUAACACGUGGGCAACCUGCCUGUAAGACUGGGAUAACUCGCGGAAACGCGAGCUAAUACCGGAUAAUACCAACGACCACCUGGUCGAGGGUUGAAAGGUGGCUCUUAUGAGCGAUCACUUACAGAUGGGCCCGCGGCGCAUUAGCUAGUUGGUGAGGUAACGGCUCACCAAGGCAACGAUGCGUAGCCGACCUGAGAGGGUGAUCGGCCACACUGGGACUGAGACACGGCCCAGACUCCUACGGGAGGCAGCAGUAGGGAAUCUUCCGCAAUGGACGAAAGUCUGACGGAGCAACGCCGCGUGAACGAAGAAGGUUUUCGGAUCGUAAAGUUCUGUUGUUAGGGAAGAACAAGUACCGUUCGAAUAGGGCGGUACCUUGACGGUACCUAACGAGGAAGCCCCGGCUAACUACGUGCCAGCAGCCGCGGUAAUACGUAGGGGGCAAGCGUUGUCCGGAAUUAUUGGGCGUAAAGCGCGCGCAGGCGGUUUUUUAAGUCUGAUGUGAAAUCUUGCGGCUCAACCGCAAGCGGUCAUUGGAAACUGGAGAACUUGAGGACAGAAGAGGAGAGUGGAAUUCCACGUGUAGCGGUGAAAUGCGUAGAUAUGUGGAGGAACACCAGUGGCGAAGGCGACUCUCUGGUCUGUAACUGACGCUGAGGCGCGAAAGCGUGGGGAGCGAACAGGAUUAGAUACCCUGGUAGUCCACGCCGUAAACGAUGAGUGCUAGGUGUUAGGGGGUUUCCGCCCCUUAGUGCUGCAGUUAACGCAUUAAGCACUCCGCCUGGGGAGUACGGCCGCAAGGCUGAAACUCAAAAGAAUUGACGGGGACCCGCACAAGCGGUGGAGCAUGUGGUUUAAUUCGAAGCAACGCGAAGAACCUUACCAGGUCUUGACAUCCUCUGACAACUCUAGAGAUAGAGCGUUCCCUUCGGGGACAGAGUGACAGGUGGUGCAUGGUUGUCGUCAGCUCGUGUCGUGAGAUGUUGGGUUAAGUCCCGCAACGAGCGCAACCCUUAAUCUUAGUUGCCAGCAUUUAGUUGGGCACUCUAAGGUGACUGCCGGUGAUAAACCGGAGGAAGGUGGGGAUGACGUCAAAUCAUCAUGCCCCUUAUGACCUGGGCUACACACGUGCUACAAUGGAUGGUACAAAGGGCAGCAAAACCGCGAGGUCAAGCAAAUCCCAUAAAACCAUUCUCAGUUCGGAUUGCAGGCUGCAACUCGCCUGCAUGAAGCCGGAAUCGCUAGUAAUCGUGGAUCAGCAUGCCACGGUGAAUACGUUCCCGGGUCUUGUACACACCGCCCGUCACACCACGAGAGUUGGCAACACCCG